rnacentral:lncRNA from 1 species
UGAUCACGUGCCUCUUGGAAAGAUGUUGUCAGGAAGGCUCACCAGACACCCACAAAUCCUACUAAAUGAAGACAGUUAUAUUCAAACUGCCGUACUCAGAAGCGAAUCCCCCAACAGUCAGCUCAACACCUUCCUCGUGCAGUCAUCCCGAAACCUGGGCAGGACGCCUCGUUAGUCAUUUUUUCUAUUUCUCCCCGCAGAAAACAGGCAGCUAAAGCUUUCGCAAUGUUAUGCCGUUAAUUUAAUGGCUAUUGACGCAGCUGUUGUACCGUAGGCCCCCGCAGUAACUGCCAAUAAAAAGAAGAUACAUCUCUGCUUUUCAGCUACGAGGGGUGUUUUUGCUAUUUCUUGUAAACGUUGAGGAUGGUAUGUGUUUGGAGGAGCAUAAAGGAAUUAGGCUUAAAAACAAAUAUACUACAAUUUUUAUAUCAAAGCUUCAUAAAGAUGGUGAGGCUGGUGGUGUCUGUUGGUUAUGAAAUCAUAAAAAGAUAGGUUAAACGCUAAUCUUGUUCUUGCAGCUUAAAAACCUAAUUUCUGGGAGCUGCCUGGGGAGUAGUCAGAUCAAUAGGCCCAUGGAUGGCACUUGUUGCCUGUAUUUUGUGCUCUGCUCCAUACAUUUAUUCCAGCGGAGCAUUAGGACAAUGUACUGCGUUCUCUUCGGAAAUUGUUAGCCACACAAGACCAUCUGUUUUGCAAUUUUUUCGGACCAUGGUGAGUUACUCUAGGAUUUUUGUUUGUUUCAAUUUCAGGUAUAACCCCAGCAAUGGAGAUAAACUUCCAGAAAUAAUGGCAGCUACUUACCACUGCCAUUCCAGACAAGAGUUAUCUGGUAUGGGUACCUCGCGUUUUGAGCAGAAGGCUGCUAAUUUCUCACGUGAUCUUUAUCAAGAAGUACAGAAUCAGUGA